rnacentral:rRNA from 1 species
UACGUAGGGGGCAAGCGUUGUCCGGAUUUAUUGGGCGUAAAGAGCUCGUAGGUGGUUCGGUAAGUCGGGUGUUAAACCCCCAGGCUCAACCUGGGGACGCCACUCGAUACUGCUGUGACUAGAGUCCGGUAGGGGAGCGUGGAAUUCCUGGUGUAGCGGUGAAAUGCGCAGAUAUCAGGAGGAACACCGGUGGCGAAGGCGGGUCUCUGGGCAAUAACUGACGCUGAGGAGCGAAAGCGUGGGGAGCGAACAGG